GUGGUUGUGGCUCAGUGGUAGAGCUCUUGCCUAGCACAUGUGAGGUCCUGAGUUCAAUCCUCAGGACCACA
rnacentral:tRNA from 1 species